rnacentral:rRNA from 1 species
AGUUUGAUCCUGGCUCAGGACGAACGCUGGCGGCGCGCCUAACACAUGCAAGUCGAACGGAGCUGAGAGGAGCUUGCUUUUCUUAGCUUAGUGGCGAACGGGUGAGUAACGCGUGAGUAACCCCCCCCGGGGUGGUGGCACACAUUGGAAAAGGUUUUUUAAUCCGCAUAACCCCCCGGUGCUCCAUGGCACUCGGGAAAAAGAUUUAUUCCUUUUGAGAGGACUCGCGUCCAAUUAGUUAGUUGUGAGGUAACGGCCCCCCAAGGCGACGAUUGGUAGCCGAACUGAGAGGUUGAACGGCCACAUUGGGACUGAGACCCGGCCCAGAUUCCUACGGGAGGCAGCAGUGGGGGAUAUUGCACAAUGGGGGAAACCCUGAUGCAGCGACGCCGCGUGGAGGAAGAAGGUUUUCGGAUUGUAAACUCCUGUCGUUAGGGACGAUAAUGACGGUACCUAACAAGAAAGCACCGGCUAACUACGUGCCAGCAGCCGCGGUAAAACGUAGGGUGCAAGCGUUGUCCGGAAUUACUGGGUGUAAAGGGAGCGCAGGCGGACCGGCAAGUUGGAAGUGAAAACCAUGGGCUCAACCCGUGAAUUGCUUUCAAAACUGCUGGCCUUGAGUAGUGCAGAGGUAGGUGGAAUUCCCGGUGUAGCGGUGGAAUGCGUAGAUAUCGGGAGGAACACCAGUGGCGAAGGCGACCUACUGGGCACCAACUGACGCUGAGGCUCGAAAGCAUGGGUAGCAAACAGGAUUAGAUACCCUGGUAGUCCAUGCCGUAAACGAUGAUUACUAGGUGUUGGAGGAUUGACCCCUUCAGUGCCGCAGUUAACACAAUAAGUAAUCCACCUGGGGAGUACGACCGCAAGGUUGAAACUCAAAGGAAUUGACGGGGGCCCGCACAAGCAGUGGAGUAUGUGGUUUAAUUCGAAGCAACGCGAAGAACCUUACCAGGUCUUGACAUCCGAUGCAUAGUGCAGAGAUGCAUGAAGUCCUUCGGGACAUCGAGACAGGUGGUGCAUGGUUGUCGUCAGCUCGUGUCGUGAGAUGUUGGGUUAAGUCCCGCAACGAGCGCAACCCUUAUUGCCAGUUACUACGUAAGAGGACUCUGGCGAGACUGCCGUUGACAAAACGGAGGAAGGUGGGGAUGACGUCAAAUCAUCACGCCCUUUAUGACCUGGGCUACACACGUACUACAAUGGCGUUUAACAAAGAGAAGCAAGACCGCGAGGUGGAGCAAAACUCAGAAACAACGUCUCAGUUCAGAUUGCAGGCUGCAACUCGCCUGCAUGAAGUCGGAAUUGCUAGUAAUCGCGGAUCAGCAUGCCGCGGUGAAUACGUUCCCGGGCCUUGCACACACCGCCCGUC